rnacentral:rRNA from 1 species
GUGGUUUAAUUCGAAGAUACACGAAGAACCUUACCUGGCCUUGACAUGGCAGGAACCCUUAAGAGAUUAGGGGUGCUAGCUUGCUAGAACCUACACACAGGUGCUGCACGGCUGUCGUCAGCUCGCGUCGUGAGAUGUUGGGUUAAGUCCCGCAACGAGCGCAACCCUCGUCCUUAGUUGCUAACAGUUCGGCUGAGCACUCUAGGGAGACUGCCUUCGCAAGGAGGAGGAAGGUGAGGACGACGUCAAGUCAUCAUGGCCCUUACGGCCAGGGCUACACACGUGCUACAAUGGGGCGUACAGAGAGCUGCGAUACUGCGAGGUGGAGCCAAUCUCUUAAAGCGUCUCUCAGUUCGGAUUGUUCUCUGCAACUCGAGAACAUGAAGCUGGAAUCACUAGUAAUCGCAGAUCAGCUAUGCUGCGGUGAAUACGUUCCCGGGUCUU